rnacentral:rRNA from 1 species
GGGUUGUGAGGUUAAGCGACUAAGCGUACACGGUGGAUGCCCUGGCAGUCAGAGGCGAUGAAGGACGUGCUAAUCUGCGAUAAGCGUCGGUAAGGUGAUAUGAACCGUUAUAACCGGCGAUUUCCGAAUGGGGAAACCCAGUGUGAUUCGUCACACUAUCAUUAACUGAAUCCAUAGGUUAAUGAGGCGAACCGGGGGAACUGAAACAUCUAAGUACCCCGAGGAAAAGAAAUCAACCGAGAUUCCCCCAGUAGCGGCGAGCGAACGGGGAGCAGCCCAGAGCCUGAAUCAGUGUGUGUGUUAGUGGAAGCGUCUGGAAAGGCGCGCGAUACAGGGUGACAGCCCCGUACACAAAAAUGCACAUGCUGUGAGCUCGAUGAGUAGGGCGGGACACGUGGUAUCCUGUCUGAAUAUGGGGGGACCAUCCUCCAAGGCUAAAUACUCCUGACUGACCGAUAGUGAACCAGUACCGUGAGGGAAAGGCGAAAAGAACCCCGGCGAGGGGAGUGAAAAAGAACCUGAAACCGUGUACGUACAAGCAGUGGGAGCACGCUUAGGCGUGUGACUGCGUACCUUUUGUAUAAUGGGUCAGCGACUUAUAUUCUGUAGCAAGGUUAACCGAAUAGGGGAGCCGAAGGGAAACCGAGUCUUAACUGGGCGUUAAGUUGCAGGGUAUAGACCCGAAACCCGGUGAUCUAGCCAUGGGCAGGUUGAAGGUUGGGUAACACUAACUGGAGGACCGAACCGACUAAUGUUGAAAAAUUAGCGGAUGACUUGUGGCUGGGGGUGAAAGGCCAAUCAAACCGGGAGAUAGCUGGUUCUCCCCGAAAGCUAUUUAGGUAGCGCCUCGUGAAUUCAUCUCCGGGGGUAGAGCACUGUUUCGGCAAGGGGGUCAUCCCGACUUACCAACCCGAUGCAAACUGCGAAUACCGGAGAAUGUUAUCACGGGAGACACACGGCGGGUGCUAACGUCCGUCGUGAAGAGGGAAACAACCCAGACCGCCAGCUAAGGUCCCAAAGUCAUGGUUAAGUGGGAAACGAUGUGGGAAGGCCCAGACAGCCAGGAUGUUGGCUUAGAAGCAGCCAUCAUUUAAAGAAAGCGUAAUAGCUCACUGGUCGAGUCGGCCUGCGCGGAAGAUGUAACGGGGCUAAACCAUGCACCGAAGCUGCGGCAGCGACGCUGAUGCGUUGUUGGGUAGGGGAGCGUUCUGUAAGCCUGUGAAGGUGUACUGUGAGGUAUGCUGGAGGUAUCAGAAGUGCGAAUGCUGACAUAAGUAACGAUAAAGCGGGUGAAAAGCCCGCUCGCCGGAAGACCAAGGGUUCCUGUCCAACGUUAAUCGGGGCAGGGUGAGUCGACCCCUAAGGCGAGGCCGAAAGGCGUAGUCGAUGGGAAACAGGUUAAUAUUCCUGUACUUGGUGUUACUGCGAAGGGGGGACGGAGAAGGCUAUGUUGGCCGGGCGACGGUUGUCCCGGUUUAAGCGUGUAGGCUGGUUUUCCAGGCAAAUCCGGAAAAUCAAGGCUGAGGCGUGAUGACGAGGCACUACGGUGCUGAAGCAACAAAUGCCCUGCUUCCAGGAAAAGCCUCUAAGCAUCAGGUAACAUCAAAUCGUACCCCAAACCGACACAGGUGGUCAGGUAGAGAAUACCAAGGCGCUUGAGAGAACUCGGGUGAAGGAACUAGGCAAAAUGGUGCCGUAACUUCGGGAGAAGGCACGCUGAUAUGUAGGUGAAGCGACUUGCUCGUGGAGCUGAAAUCAGUCGAAGAUACCAGCUGGCUGCAACUGUUUAUUAAAAACACAGCACUGUGCAAACACGAAAGUGGACGUAUACGGUGUGACGCCUGCCCGGUGCCGGAAGGUUAAUUGAUGGGGUCAGCGCAAGCGAAGCUCUUGAUCGAAGCCCCGGUAAACGGCGGCCGUAACUAUAACGGUCCUAAGGUAGCGAAAUUCCUUGUCGGGUAAGUUCCGACCUGCACGAAUGGCGUAAUGAUGGCCAGGCUGUCUCCACCCGAGACUCAGUGAAAUUGAACUCGCUGUGAAGAUGCAGUGUACCCGCGGCAAGACGGAAAGACCCCGUGAACCUUUACUAUAGCUUGACACUGAACAUUGAGCCUUGAUGUGUAGGAUAGGUGGGAGGCUUUGAAGUGUGGACGCCAGUCUGCAUGGAGCCGACCUUGAAAUACCACCCUUUAAUGUUUGAUGUUCUAACGUUGACCCGUAAUCCGGGUUGCGGACAGUGUCUGGUGGGUAGUUUGACUGGGGCGGUCUCCUCCUAAAGAGUAACGGAGGAGCACGAAGGUUGGCUAAUCCUGGUCGGACAUCAGGAGGUUAGUGCAAUGGCAUAAGCCAGCUUGACUGCGAGCGUGACGGCGCGAGCAGGUGCGAAAGCAGGUCAUAGUGAUCCGGUGGUUCUGAAUGGAAGGGCCAUCGCUCAACGGAUAAAAGGUACUCCGGGGAUAACAGGCUGAUACCGCCCAAGAGUUCAUAUCGACGGCGGUGUUUGGCACCUCGAUGUCGGCUCAUCACAUCCUGGGGCUGAAGUAGGUCCCAAGGGUAUGGCUGUUCGCCAUUUAAAGUGGUACGCGAGCUGGGUUUAGAACGUCGUGAGACAGUUCGGUCCCUAUCUGCCGUGGGCGCUGGAGAACUGAGGGGGGCUGCUCCUAGUACGAGAGGACCGGAGUGGACGCAUCACUGGUGUUCGGGUUGUCAUGCCAAUGGCACUGCCCGGUAGCUAAAUGCGGAAGAGAUAAGUGCUGAAAGCAUCUAAGCACGAAACUUGCCCCGAGAUGAGUUCUCCCUGACUCCUUGAGAGUCCUGAAGGAACGUUGAAGACGACGACGUUGAUAGGCCGGGUGUGUAAGCGCAGCGAUGCGUUGAGCUAACCGGUACUAAUGAACCGUGAGGCUUAACCUUACAACGCCGAAGCUGUU